rnacentral:rRNA from 1 species
GACGAACGCUGGCGGCGUGCUUAACACAUGCAAGUCGAGCGAUGAACCUUUCAUGAAUUUUUCGGAAUGAUUGGAAGAGGAUUAGCGGCGGACGGGUGAGUAACGCGUGAGCAACCUGCCUUAAACAACGGGAUAGCCUCGGGAAACCGGGAUUAAUACCGUAUGAGACCCCGCCUACACAUGAAAAAGAGGUUAAAGAUUUAUCGGUUUAAGAUGGGCUCGCGUCUGAUUAGCUAGUUGGUGAGAUAAAAGCCCACCAAGGCAACGAUCAGUAACCGGCUUGAGAGAGUGAACGGUCACAUUGGAACUGAGACACGGUCCAAACUCCUACGGGAGGCAGCAGUGGGGAAUAUUGCACAAUGGGGGAAACCCUGAUGCAGCGACGCCGCGUGAGCGAUGAAGGAAUUCGUUUCGUAAAGCUCUGUCCAAGGGGAAGAUAAUGACAGUACCCUUGGAGGAAGCCCCGGCUAAAUACGUGCCAGCCGCCGCGGUAA